GCAGGAUUGGUUUAGUGGUAGAACAGUUGCUUCCCAAGCAACGGGCGGGAGUUCGAUUCUCCCAUCCUGCA
rnacentral:tRNA from 1 species